rnacentral:rRNA from 1 species
GAUGAACGCUCGCUACAGGCUUAACACAUGCAAGUCGAGGGGAAACGACAUCGAAAGCUUGCUUUUGAUGGGCGUCGACCGGCGCACGGGUGAGUAACGCGUAUCCAACCUGCCCAUCACUUGGGAAUAACCUUGCGAAAGUAAGACUAAUACCCAAUGACAUCCCACGAAGACAUCUGAAUGGGAUUAAAGAUUUAUCGGUGAUGGAUGGGGAUGCGUCUGAUUAGCUUGUUGGCGGGGUAACGGCCCACCAAGGCAACGAUCAGUAGGGGUUCUGAGAGGAAGGUCCCCCACAUUGGAACUGAGACACGGUCCAAACUCCUACGGGAGGCAGCAGUGAGGAAUAUUGGUCAAUGGGCGAGAGCCUGAACCAGCCAAGUAGCGUGCAGGAUGACGGCCCUAUGGGUUGUAAACUGCUUUUAUAAGGGAAUAAAGUGGGUCUCGGGAGACUUUUUGCAUGUACCUUAUGAAUAAGGACCGGCUAAUUCCGUG